GAACUCAGGUGAUCUGCCCUCCUUGGCCUCCCAAAGUGCUGGGAUUACAGGCGUGAGCCACUGUACCCAGCCUACCCCCUAUUUUUGUUUGUACUCUACAUUCUCAGAUGGUAAAGCCAUUAGAUAGCAUAAUCUCUCUUUUAAAACCCUCAUUUAGUCUUCACUCCACAAAUAACUAUACAUUUGUUAAUCAUCACCAAUCAUUAAUGUGAUGUUUCUCUAGUUAUUUUGGUCUCUGCGGCUGGUGCUUUAGUAGAUCCUCAAGAAGGGCUAUGGACCAUGUUACUGUUUCACUAUAAUAAAGACAGGAUCAGCAUCACUGAUUAUUCCUUUGGCCUCAGGCUUCAGUAUGGUUCAGUACAAGACUAUUAAUAUCCUAUCUUUAUUUAAAAGUUUGAUAUUUUGUUCAUCCUGGAUUUUUUGGCAUUGAAUUUUGUUUAAAAAAUUAUUGCAUUAAGAUCUCAUUUUCUGCAUCCCUGAACUGUUUAGUGUGCUCUGAAAUUCUUUGCUGCAAGCCAGGACCUUUCUUUGCUCACCUGCCUCACCCUGGUUGGAGAUGAGUUGGAGCUCCUAUUUUUCUCAUCCUGUUAAAAAAAAGAAAAAAGAACUCUGCGGGCGAGUUUAAAGCGACUGGGUCUCACUAUGUGGCCAAGAGUGGUCUCAAAAUCCUGGCCUCAAGCAAUCCUCCCCGCUUGGCCUCCCAAAUUGCUGCGAUUACAGGCAUGAGCCACGAUGCCUGGCCCCUGCUUAAUUUUGAUUCAAUUUCCAGCAGUUGCUGUCCAUUGUGGGGUGCAGUCCGGAAGGGAGCCCUGGCAGAUCAGUGAGAGAAUUCACAGACCUUCAGAUGUUACCGCAGAUCUGGCCCUGGUAAGCAUCAUUCUACUCCGUGCCUCCGUAAGAUCCACUUUUUUAGCUCCCACAUUUGAGUGAGAACAUGUGAUAUUUGUAUUUUUGUACCUGUUUAUUUCACUCAACAUAAUGAACUCCAGCUCCAUCCAUGCUGCUACAAAUGAAAGGAUAUUAUUCUGUUUUAUGGCCAAAUAAUGUUUCUUUGUGUAUAUGUACCACAUUUUCCUUAUCCAUUCAUUCAUUGGUGGAUUCUUAGGUUGAUUUCACUUCUUGACUAAUAUGAACAGUGCUGUAAUAAACAUGGGAGUGCAGAGAGUUCUUAAGUUUACUGAUUUCCUGUCUUUUGGAUAUAUCCAGCAGUGGGAUUGCUAGAUCAUAUGGUAGUUCUACUUUUAGUUUUUUGAAGCGCCUCCAUACUGUUGUUCAUGGUGGCUGUCCUAGUUUAUAUUCCCACUAACAGUGUAUGAGUGUUCCCCUUUCUCCGAAUCCUUGCCAACAUCUGUUAUUUUUUGUCUUUUUGAUAAUAGCCGUUCUAACUGGGGUGAGAUGGUAUCUCAUCAUGGUUUGAUUUGCAUUUCCCUGAUGAUUAGUGAUAUUGAACAUUUUUUCAUAUACCUGCUGACCGUUUGUAUGCCUUCUUUUGG
rnacentral:lncRNA from 1 species